AAUAGUCAGAAGGAUCUGUUGUCACAACAAGUGUUCCUAUCCAAGUCCUAAAAUGGCUUCUGUAGCGUGAGGGUUUUGUGCCCAAAUGUUUCUUCUGUUCUUGUUGAAGUGUCAGUUUUGAAGAAAUACUGAAAAUCUGGAACAAAUCCAGUGCUUGUCCUCAGGGAUAUUUGAAAAUCCAUGCAACUUCUGAAAUUCACCCAGAACAGACAAAGGAAGGAUGCUUGUGAUUCACUGUUAUUUUGAAAACAAUCUGAGUUAUAAUUUCCAUCAUGUUUUUACU